rnacentral:rRNA from 1 species
GUAGGUGGCAAGCGUUGUCCGGAAUUAUUGGGCGUAAAGCGCGCGCAGGUGGUUCUUUAAGUCUGAUGUGAAAGCCCCCGGCUCGAACCGGGGAGGGUCAUUGGAAACUGGGGAACUUGAGUGCAGGAGAGGAAAGUGGAAUUCCACGUGUAGCGGUGAAAUGCGUAGAUAUGUGGAGGAACACCAGUGGCGAAGGCGACUUUUCUGGCCUGUAACUGACACUGAGGCGCGAAAGCGUGGGGAGCAAACAGGGAUUAGAUACCCUGGUAGUCCACGCCGUAAACGAUGAGUGCUAAGUGUUGGGGGGGUUUCCGCCCCCUCAGUGCUGCAGCUAACGCAUUAAGCACUCCGCCUGGGAGUACGGUCGCAAGACUG